AACGUAGGAGGCAAGCGUUAUCCGGAGUUACUGGGCGUAAAGCGCGUGCAGGUGGUGUUUCAAGUUCGGUGUGAAAGCCGUCGGCUCAACCGGGGGAUGGCACGGAAGACUGGGACACUGGAGGCAGCUAGAGGAGCGUAGAAUUCCGGGUGUAGCGGUGAAAUGUGUAGAGAUCCGGAGGAAUACCAGUGGCGCAAGCGGCGCUCUGGGGCUGACCUGACACUGAGACGCGAAGGCGUGGGGAGCGAACAGG
rnacentral:rRNA from 1 species